UACGGGGGGGGCAAGCGUUGUUCGGAAUUACUGGGCGUAAAGGGCUCGUAGGCGGCCAACUAAGUCGGACGUGAAAUCCCUGGGCUCAACCCAGGAACUGCGUCCGAUACUGGUUGGCUUGAAUCCGGGAGAGGGAUGUGGAAUUCCAGGUGUAGCGGUGAAAUGCGUAGAUAUCUGGAGGAACACCGGUGGCGAAGGCGACAUCCUGGACCGUCAUUGACGCUGAGGCGCGAAAGCGUGGGGAGCGAACAGG
rnacentral:rRNA from 1 species